AGGGCUGUAACUCAGUGGCAGAGAAUCUGCUCUGAAUGCAGAAGGUUCCAGGUUCAACCCCUUGUCUGAAGAGGCUCUG